AUUGAACGCUGGCGGCAUGCCUUACACAUGCAAGUCGAACGGCAGCACGGGGGCAACCCUGGUGGCGAGUGGCGAACGGGUGAGUAAUACAUCGGAACGUGCCCUGAAGUGGGGGAUAACGUAGCGAAAGUUACGCUAAUACCGCAUAUUCUGUGAGCAGGAAAGCAGGGGAUCUUCGGACCUUGUGCUUUAGGAGCGGCCGAUGUCGGAUUAGCUAGUUGGUGAGGUAAAGGCUCACCAAGGCGACGAUCCGUAGCGGGUCUGAGAGGAUGAUCCGCCACACUGGGACUGAGACACGGCCCAGACUCCUACGGGAGGCAGCAGUGGGGAAUUUUGGACAAUGGGCGCAAGCCUGAUCCAGCCAUGCCGCGUGAGUGAAGAAGGCCUUCGGGUUGUAAAGCUCUUUCAGACGGAAAGAAAACGCAUCGGUGAAUACCCGGUGUGGAUGACGGUACCGUAAGAAGAAGCACCGGCUAACUACGUG
rnacentral:rRNA from 1 species